GUCAAAAGAAGACAAUAGCGACUAAGAAAAACAGGCCAGGCUGACCAGCAGCAGAAAGGCUCUUCCUCACAGGGAGCAGAGCCAUUUAGCUCCAUCUGAGCUCCCUCCUGCCCAUGAGCAGCCGGAGAGGGGAGGGACACAGAAAACCAUGCACGGAUGGGGCUGAGUGCUGUAUGAAGGGAUGCAGACCCCCCCACUCCUGUCCAGAGUUUGGAGAGGCUGCCGAGGAUGCCUGCAGCCUGGGCGUGAGGGAGGUACGAAGACGGCUCAGGAUAUUGUGAGGAAGGAUGUAGAGGAUGCUGUGUGUGCUGUCAAGAUCCCAUUUAGGACUGAAGGGCUUAUUCCUCCAGCUGCCCAAGGCUGGCGCCCUUCUUGGGAGAGCCUUCAACCAAUGACUCAUCAACUCAAGGCUCAACCUUUUCAACCAACUUGCUACAAUUCAGAAGACCACCCAGCCUCAGAGCUUCCUGUGGGGUCAGCAGAGGCCUACAUUGAGAAUUCACCCAGCCCAGCUUCUCCCUCUGUCUAUUUUUUCUUCCCUUCCCUUCCACAGAUGUUGACCCCAAGAAU